UUGAUGGAUCGAUCAUCAUCAUAAGACUCUUCUCGGAUUUCUAGGUCGGACCGGCUGUUCCUCCUUGGAUGGUCAUCUGGUUCUGGUUCGUGGCUGACUUGGAUGGCCCUGAAGUUCAUCUAGCCUCUGAUGGAUUGCCUCCAAACCUGUAUUCAACAAGUUAGACAUAGAAUCAUUGAGAGCACACAUUUGCAAGUUAGAUAAUCCGGCAUGUGAAUUUCCGGGUCGGUUUCUUUCAUCUUCACUAUCCAUGACUACCUGAAAACUUAAACAAGGUAAAGUUAGAUUAAAAACCUCACACACUCAGGUGUUUAUCCUUGCCCACACACGUGUUUCACUCAAUUUGGUAGUCACACAAGAGAGUUUCCCUCAAAGUUCUAAGAGAACAAACUAGAUAACCAAAAAUGAGAAUCCCAAGUGAAACACCCAAGAGACAAGAUAGAAAGAUAAGAGAUUUAACAAGGGGAAUCUGUAUUAACCACCUCCAAGGCCGGGUUUCUCCUCCGCCAGCAGGCUUACUCUUCCACCACCAAACCACAAUUGAAAACUUUUGAUAUAUUUUCUUUCUUUUUCUUUUUUUUUUUGAUUAGAUCUUUCUUUCGUUUAUUUUAAUAUAUAUGGAUGGUAAAGCGGGGCCCGGAUUCAAAGAUAGAUAGAAGAAGAAUUUCUUUUUUUUUCUGAAGAAAAUGAUAGAUGAGAAAGAUGGAAUGAAAAGAGAUACCGGAAGAGUGGCUCUGAUACCACUUGAAGAACCCUAAGGAACGAACACUCAACCGGAUCUGAUGAUAUGAACUCGAUCUGAAGAGAUAGAGAACUGAUGGAUUGUUUAGUGACACAAAGGGAUGCGGAAGACCCAAUGAUACUACUAGAACUCUCAAUGGCCGCUUGAUUUGACACACAAGUCCGGCUCAAAGAAAAGGGAUUCACUUGGAGAUAGCCUCACCAAGGGAACAAGAAUGUUCUAAUCAAAGAACAAAGAAAGAAAUCUCAAAAUGAAUAAGGAAAAUCGAUUAUCUUAUUUCAAGGAUGCGUUCUCUUACUUAUACAACUUGUAGUCAAAGAUAAUAAAUAAAAAUGUAUGAAAAAGAGACAUAGAAAAUAGAUAGAAGACCAGAUCUAGUCAAAGCACAGAAAAUAAUGUUGACUGGUCGAUUUGAACUCUUCG
rnacentral:lncRNA from 1 species